AUGCCUGGCAAGCUUGAUUCCCUAGAGGUGUUGAGCCUCCGGUCUAAUCGCCUGACUAUUGGCCUCACUCCUGAUGUAGGAUCUAUUCCUUCUCUUCAUUCCCUCUAUCUGCAGCAUAAUAAUCUGUGUGGAAUCAUACCAACUACACUUUCAUCCAGCUUGACAUUCCAAGACCUCUGCUACAACACUUUCAAUGGGGAAAUCCCAUUGAGCGUGCAAAAUCUCAAUGGACUUAUUGCAAUCCUUCUCCAGAACAACUCUCUUUCUAGACCCAUCCCUAGCCUACGUCUCGCCAAAUUGAGGCAUUUGAAUGUGAGGAAUAACAACCUAAGUGGUCCAAUACCACCUUCCUUUGCAGAAAUUCCCGGCUAG
rnacentral:rRNA from 1 species